rnacentral:rRNA from 1 species
UACGAAGGGGGCUAGCGUUGCUCGGAAUUACUGGGCGUAAAGCGCACGUAGGCGGCUUUCUAAGUCGGAGGUGAAAUCCGUGGAGCUCAACUCCAGAACUGCCUUUGAUACUGGAGAGCUUGAGUCCGGGAGAGGUGAGUGGGAACUCCGAAGUGUAGAGGUGAAAGUUCGAUUAGAUAUUCGGAAGAAACACCAGAUGGCGG